AUCAUACCGAAGUUACAACUCCCAAACCCCUGUGAACAUACCUUUAUGUUGCCUCGGCGGAUCAGCCCGCGCCCCGUAAAACGGGACGGCCCGCCGCAGGAAACCCUAAACUCUGUUUUUAGUGGAACUUCUGAGUAUAAAAAACAAAUAAAUCAAAACUUUCAACAACGGAUCUCUUGGUUCUGGCAUCGAUGAAGAACGCAGCAAAAUGCGAUAAGUAAUGUGAAUUGCAGAAUUCAGUGAAUCAUCGAAUCUUUGAACGCACAUUGCGCCCGCCAGUAUUCUGGCGGGCAUGCCUGUUCGAGCGUCAUUUCAACCCUCAAGCCCAGCUUGGUGUUGGGAUCUGUGUGCAAACACAGUCCCCAAAUUGAUUGGCGGUCACGUCGAGCUUCCAUAGCGUAGUAAUUUACACAUCGUUACUGGUAAUCGUCGCGGCCACGCCGUUAAACCCCAACUUCUGAAUGUUGACCUCGGAUCAGGUAGGAAUACCCGCUGAACUUAAGCAU
rnacentral:rRNA from 1 species